rnacentral:lncRNA from 1 species
CUUCUUGCUGUCCAAUAGAUUGAUGAAGAGCCUUGCUGGAUCGACCCCUUACUAAAGUACCUCAGGUCAGAUGAAUUACCACCUGAUGCAGGAAAGCUCGAAAAAUCCACAAGCCGGUUGCCUGCUAUAUGCUUCAUGAUGACAAGCUGUAUAAGCAGUCCUUCUCUUUUUUACUUCUGAGGUGUCUGCGAUCGUCCGAAGCAGACUAUGCACUA